rnacentral:rRNA from 1 species
UACACUCCUGCGGGAGGCAGCAGUGGGGAAUAUUGGACAAUGGGCGCAAGCCUGAUCCAGCCAUGCCGCGUGAGUGAUGAAGGCCCUAGGGUUGUAAAGCUCUUUCACCGGUGAAGAUAAUGACGGUAACCGGAGAAGAAGCCCCGGCUAACUUCGUGCCAGCAGCCGCGGUAAUACGAAGGGGGCUAGCGUUGUUCGGAUUUACUGGGCGUAAAGCGCACGUAGGCGGACUAUUAAGUCAGGGGUGAAAUCCCGGGGCUCAACCCCGGAACUGCCUUUGAUACUGGUAGUCUUGAGUUCGAGAGAGGUGAGUGGAAUUCCGAGUGUAGAGGUGAAAUUCGUAGAUAUUCGGAGGAACACCAGUGGCGAAGGCGGCUCACUGGCUCGAUACUGACGCUGAGGUGCGAAAGCGUGGGGAGCAAACAGGAUUAGAAACCCCUGUAGUCCCAUGA